GCGGCACGCUAGGGGUCCUGGAGCGCGUUCGCUUCGGGUGAGAAAAACCCUCUGAACCUGACCUGGAUAAUACCAGCGUAGGGAAGCGUGAAGCGCGUUUC
rnacentral:ncRNA from 2 species